UACGGAAGGCAGCAGGGGGAAUAUUGCACAAUGGGCGCAAGCCUGAUGCAGCCAUGCCGCGUGUAUGAAGAAGGCCUUCGGGUUGUAAAGUACUUUCAGUCGUGAGGAAGGUGUUAAGGUUAAUAACCUUAGCAAUUGACGUUAGCGACAGAAGAAGCACCGGCUAACUCCGUGCCAGCAGCCGCGGUAAUACGGAGGGUGCGAGCGUUAAUCGGAAUUACUGGGCGUAAUGGGCACGCAGGCGGUUAAUUAAGUUGGAUGUGAAAUCCCCGGGCUUAACCUGGGAAUGGCAUUCAAGACUGGUUAGCUAGAGUCUUGUAGAGGGGGUAGAAUUCCAUGUGUAGCGGUGAAAUGCGUAGAGAUGUGGAGGAAUACCGGUGGCGAAGGCGGCCCCUGGGACAAAGACUGACGCUCAUGUGCGAAAGCGUGGGGAGCAAACAGGGAUUAGAUACC
rnacentral:rRNA from 1 species